UUAAUUUACUCAGGGGCUGAUACAGAGCAGUGGGGGGCAGCAGGGCGAGGGCUCCAUGGAGGGGCAGUGCAGAACUGGCAGAGGUGGUCAGCACCGCCCAAGCGGCACCCCUCCCCCUUCCCACCCCGGACUCGGCCUGGGCCCCCUGGGGGCUUAUGGAACCAGGAAUUCCCUUUUCCCCAGCCCUAAUAGCAAUCAGAUGGCGCAAGUGGAAAAUCACGGCGCUCGGCGAGCAAGCUGGAAAUUGGCGGGCUGUGGUGCCUGGUGCCUGCGCUGCUCAGCGGGAGGAUGAGUCAGGAGUGUAGUGCCCAGACUGGGAGAGAUGUGCCUCUGUGGGCAUCUUGAAGGGAAAUGAGAAGCGGAGCUGCCCCUGCACCUGCGCCGGGAGCUGCCUGCCUCCUGCUUGUCCUGGCCAUGUGCGAACCUCAGCGUGGAAGAGGGACUCUCGCACUGCUCCCUGCGUGGCUCAGCUGGCCUCCUGGGGUCCGUUUUUCAGGGAUGGGGUGAGGAGGGACUCUGGGAUCCUGGAGGCUCACGGGCCAUGCCUGAGGCUGAGAGGCUGGAGGCAGCAGGCAGGGUGGUGACCCAUCCCCUCCUCUCCAGGGCAGCCAGCUGGGGCCCAGCUGGAACGCUUGUUUACAUGGGGAGGCCGGGGGAGGCUGAAUCCCAGCGAGUUCCAAGUGUAAUUGCGUUUGGACACUUAAAAGGAAUUGUGUGAAGUGGGCAGAGGCUCUGAAGUCCACCGCCUUA